AGUGAACGCUGGCGGUAGGCCUAACACAUGCAAGUCGAACGGCAGCACAGUAAGAGCUUGCUCUUACGGGUGGCGAGUGGCGGACGGGUGAGGAAUACAUCGGAAUCUACUUUUUCGUGGGGGAUAACGUAGGGAAACUUACGCUAAUACCGCAUACGACCUACGGGUGAAAGCAGGGGAUCUUCGGACCUUGCGCGAUUGAAUGAGCCGAUGUCGGAUUAGCUAGUUGGCGGGGUAAGGGCCCACCAAGGCGACGAUCCGUAGCUGGUCUGAGAGGAUGAUCAGCCACACUGGAACUGAGACACGGUCCAGACUCCUACGGGAGGCAGCAGUGGGGAAUAUUGGACAAUGGGCGCAAGCUGAUCCAGCCAUACCGCGUGGGUGAAGAAGGCCUUCGGGUUGUAAAGCCCUUUUGUUGGGAAAGAAAAGCAGCAGGUUAAUACCCCGCUGUUCUGACGGUACCCAAAGAAUAAGCACCGGCUAACUUCGUG
rnacentral:rRNA from 1 species